GACAGAGGGGGCGAGCGUUGUCCGGAGUCACUGGGCGUAAAGCGCGCGGAGGCGGUCGGCAGAGUGUCGGGUGAAAGCCCCCGGCUCAACGGGGGGAGGCGAGGGGAAACUCGGCGGCUGGAGGGGCGGAGAGGGCGGUCGAAGUGCCGGUGUAGCGGUGAAAUGCGUAGAGAUCGGGAGGAAGGCCAGGGGGGAAGCCGGGGGGCUGGGCUCUGGCUGACGCUGCGGCGCGACAGCGUGGGGAGCAAACCGG
rnacentral:rRNA from 1 species